rnacentral:rRNA from 1 species
ACGGGAGGCAGCAGUGGGGAAUAUUGGGCAAUGGGCGAAAGCCUGACCCAGCAACGCCGCGUGAAGGAAGAAGGUCUUCGGAUUGUAAACUUCUUUUAUGAGGGACGAAGGACGUGACGGUACCUCAUGAAUAAGCCACGGCUAACUACGUGCCAGCAGCCGCGGUAAUACGUAGGUGGCGAGCGUUGUCCGGAUUUACUGGGUGUAAAGGGAGCGCAGGCGGGACAGCAAGUUGGAUGUGAAAUACCGAGGCUUAACUUCGGAGCUGCAUCCAAAACUGCCGUUCUUGAGUGAAGUAGAGGUAGGCGGAAUUCCGAGUGUAGCGGUGAAAUGCGUAGAUAUUCGGAGGAACACCGGUGGCGAAGGCGGCCUACUGGGCUUUAACUGACGCUGAGGCUCGAAAGUGUGGGGAGCAAACAGGAUUAGAUACCCUGGUA